rnacentral:rRNA from 1 species
GCAUGGCUGUCGUCAGCUCGUGUUGUGAAAUGUUGGGUUAAGUCCCGCAACGAGCGCAACCCUUAUCCUUGUUUGCCAGCGAGUAAUGUCGGGAACUCCAGGGAGACUGCCGGUGAUAAACCGGAGGAAGGUGGGGACGACGUCAAGUCAUCAUGGCCCUUACGAGUAGGGCUACACACGUGCUACAAUGGCGCAUACAGAGGGCGGCCAACUUGCGAAAGUGAGCGAAUCCCAAAAAGUGCGUCGUAGUCCGGAUUGGAGUCUGCAACUCGACUCCAUGAAGUCGGAAUCGCUAGUAAUCGUGGAUCAGAAUGCCACGGUGAAUACGUUCCCGGGCCUUGUACACACCGCCCGUCACACCAUGGGAGUGGGCUGCAAAAGAAGUGGGUAGUUUAACCUUCGGGAGGACGCUCACCACUUUGUGGUUCAUGACUGGGGUGAAGUCGUAACAAGGUAGCGCUAGGGGAACCUGGCGCUGGAUCACCUCCUUAUACGAUGAU